rnacentral:rRNA from 1 species
AUGAAGUCGAGCGCCCGCAAGGGAGCGGCAGACGGGUGAGUAACACGUGGGGAUCUGCCCGAUGGUACGGAAUAGCUCCGGGAAACUGGGAAUUAAUACCGUAUGUGCCCGCAAGGGAAAGAUUUAUCGCCAUCGGAUGAACCCGCGUCGGAUUAGCUAGUUGGUGGGGUAAAGGCCCACCAAGGCGACGAUCCGUAGCUGGUCUGAGAGGAUGAUCAGCCACACUUGGGACUUGAGACACGGBCCAGACUYCUACGGGAGGCAGCAGUGGGKKAAUAUUBGGACAAUUGUCGCAA